UACGGAGGAUGCGAGCGUUAUCCGGAUUUAUUGGGUUUAAAGGGUGCGCAGGCGGCACGGCAAGCCGGCGGUCAAAUCGCGGGGCUCAACCCCGCCCAGCCGUCGGAACUGCCGGGCUAGAGUGGGCGAGAAGUGCGCGGAAUGCGUGGUGUAGCGGUGAAAUGCAUAGAUAUCACGCAGAACUCCGAUUGCGAAGGCAACGCACCGGCGCCCUACUGACGCUCAGGCACGAAAGCGUGGGUAUCGAGCAGG
rnacentral:rRNA from 1 species